GGACAGAGCAGCAGACAGAAACAAUUGUAGGAGACAAAGAGGAAAGAAAAGAAAAUGCAAUUACACAGUCUGGAAGGUCAGAAAGAUUGUUUUGCUUAUUGGUGUUGAAUUUUAAUUAAAAACCAAACAACUUUUCCUAUUAACUUGAUGCUACUUAUUAAUUCAAAUGAAGAGACUGACUCUGGAUAUUGGGAAAAUUUAUCGGCAUAUACAAAGGAAAGGCCGUGUGGGGAAAUAAUGAGAGGACAGCCAUCUGCAAGCCAAGAAGAGAAUCAUCACUAGAAACCAAAUUGGUUGGAACCUUGAUCUUGAACUUCUUGCUUCCAGAAUUAUGAGAAAAUAAAUUGUUGUUUGAGCCACACAGUCUAUUAUAUUUAGUUAGAGCAGUCUGAGGAGACUAAUACAUUGAUAAACUGGUCUGUUACAAUAAUGAAUAUAUUGUUUAUACAUUAUAUAAACAAUUAUGGUUUCUGUAUCAGCCUUAGAUUUCGCAAAUUUGUCAAUAGCUUUGUCAAAGUUGAUUUUCUUUAUAUAUUCCUAUUUCAUGGACUAUAUUAGCUAGAUUUGUCAAUCUAUCCUACCCAUAAAGACUGAAGAACACUUUUUAAUUCAAUUUAAAAGGUUUUUGUCACACAAAGCAACAAAUAUAAAACUAGAAAAAAUUAUAAAUAUGAAUAUAAAUUUGAAGGAAAUUACUAAAAAUCCUGUUGUACUAUAUAUUCCAGAAAUUUUAAACACUGAGGAAAACUUCAACUUGCACCAUGGAGUGAGAGAAUCGAAGUAAUUCAAGUGUUGUAUUUCAUCUUUUCCAUCACUAGGUUGUCAUUUAUUUCAAGUUUUUUUUUUUUUUGUAAUUUAACUUCUAAGUUCAGGGGUACAUAUGCAGGUUUGUUAUAUAUGUAGACUUGUGUCAUAGGGAUU
rnacentral:lncRNA from 1 species